rnacentral:tRNA from 1 species
UAAGACAUAGCCGAGUGGUUAAGGCGAUAUCCUUGCAAUGCAUUUCCCGUGUGAGGGCGUAGGUUCAAAUCCUACUAUCUUCA